AUCCCCGUGUCCUUGGUUCG
rnacentral:tRNA from 1 species